GACGAACGCUGGCGGCGUGCUUAACACAUGCAAGUCGAACGGAAAGGCCCCUUUGGGGGUACUCGAGUGGCGAACGGGUGAGUAACACGUGAGUAACCUGCCCUUGACUUCGGGAUAACUUCAGGAAACUGGGGCUAAUACCGGAUAGGAAUCCUUGCUGCAUGGUGGGGGUUGGAAAGCUUCGGCGGUUUUGGAUGGACUCGCGGCUUAUCAGCUUGUUGGUGGGGUAGUGGCUUACCCAGGCUUUGACGGGUAGCCGGCCUGAGAGGGCGACCGGCCACAUUGGGACUGAGAUACGGCCCAGACUCCUACGGGAGGCAGCAGAGGGGAAUAUUGCACAAUGGGCGGAAGCCUGAUGCAGCAACGCCGCGUGCGGGAUGACGGCCUUCGGGUGGUAAACCGCUUUCAGCAGGGGCGAAGCUUGUGGUGACGGUACCUGCAGAAGAAGCACCGGCUAACUACGUG
rnacentral:rRNA from 1 species